rfam:Ictidomys tridecemlineatus contig043656, whole genome shotgun sequence.
GGGGUUGUGGCUCAGUGGUAGAGCACUUGUCUAGCAUACAUGAAGCACUGGGUUUGAUCCCCAGCACUACUU